AGUCGAAAGCCCUCUUUGCUGCUCUCCUGUGGAACAUUUGGAAGACCUGCAAUUCUGCGGUUUUCAAAGGAACAAAGCCUGACCCUAUCCGCACCAAGAGGAAGCUCGUACAUCAACAGAUCUAUUCAUGAAAUGGAAAGCUAAGGGGAAAAAUCGACCAAACUGAAAACAAGAAGAUCAAAAUAGUUGCGCAAAAUGGAAGCCACUUGACCUAAACUCGCUGAAGGAAAAUGUUGACGCCUCAUGGUGCAGUUCGACAUAGGAAGGAUCGGUUGCGGGUGUUUGCCGGAAUGCUGCUGGCCUCCUUGUCAUCGACUUUACAAAGCAAAUCUCGGCUCCGUCCGCUUCGAUCACAGAAACCCUAGCCGAGAGAGCAGCUUUGAUGUGGGCGAAGGAGAACCGAGAAGCCAG
rnacentral:lncRNA from 1 species